UAACAUAAAAAAUUGCUUUACCUUAAAAUAAAUUGGCGAAAUUAAUUAUUUUCUAGUUUCAACUUUCAACAAGUGACGUAAUAAUUCCUCGAAGAAAUGUUCAUCAAUGUCAGCCAGCUACUGCUCCCUUCGGAUGCAAAUGCAAAAUCGCGAUAGAGGAUUUUCGUGCUAGGCUGCUGUUCCACUCCUUCACCUUCCUCCGUAAAUGGACGUUGCUAUGCUUCUCUGAUCCAAAGCUAUUAGAUCUCAAAACCUCUGAUCUGAUCCGUCGCUGAUCGCCGUCGCUGCAAGGUACCGUACCUUUCCCUAUCCCUCUCAUUUCUUUCUCAGAUAACAGCUCGUCUGAUCUGGAGAGACAAAUGCGCACCUCUGUUCAUCUUUGCCGUUGCACUGUUUUGAUCUGCGGCUGUAUGACGGAAUUCUGAGUAGCUCAAUGUUCUUAGAUUCAAUUUUGAGCUCAAGUUCAUGCUCGCUCGCUCGCUUGCUUGCCUAUUUUCGUAUUUUUGUUUAUUUUGUUUCCAUUUCUGUUUCCAACUCUCAUAUCGUAGCUCUUUGCAAGGAUCCGAUCAGCUGAC
rnacentral:lncRNA from 1 species